CACGACGGAGGACCGCACACUGAGAAUCAUCCUCCAGCCGUCCAAAGCAGGCCUUUCAGAGCUGCUGCAUUUUGUCUUGGAGUGCUGUGCUUUCUGACCAUAACUGGAAUCAUCCUCCUAUACAUACGUUUCACUUUGGAAAAAGACCAGCUGCAGACCAGAUACGACAAACUGA